rnacentral:rRNA from 1 species
UACGGGGGGGGCAAGCGUUGUUCGGAAUUACUGGGCGUAAAGGGCUCGUAGGUGGCCAACUAAGUCAGACGUGAAAUCCCUCGGCUUAACCGGGGAACUGCGUCUGAUACUGGAUGGCUUGAAUUUGGGAGAGGGACGCGGAAUUCCAGGUGUAGCGGUGAAAUGCGUAGAUAUCUGGAGGAACACCGGUGGCGAAGGCGGCAUCCUGGACCAACACUGACACUGAGGAGCGAAAGCCAGGGGAGCAAACGGG